GAUGAACGCUGGCGGCGUGCUUAACACAUGCAAGUCGAACGAUGAAGCCCAGCUUGCUGGGUGGAUUAGUGGCGAACGGGUGAGUAACACGUGAGUAACCUGCCCUUGACUCUGGGAUAAGCCUGGGAAACUGGGUCUAAUACUUGAUAUGACUUCUCAUCGCAUGGUGGGGGGUGGAAAGAUUUAUUGGUCUUGGAUGGACUCGCGGCCUAUCAGCUUGUUGGUGAGGUAAUGGCUCACCAAGGCGACGACGGGUAGCCGGCCUGAGAGGGUGACCGGCCACACUGGGACUGAGGCACGGACCAGACUCCUACGGGAGGCAGGAGUGGGGAAUAUUGCACAAUGGGCGCAAGCCUGAUGCAGCGACGCCGCGGGAGGGAUGACGGCCUUCGGGUUGUAAACCUCUUUCAGUAGGGAAGAAGCGAGAGUGACGGUACCUGCAGAAGAAGCGCCGGCUAACUAC
rnacentral:rRNA from 1 species